rnacentral:tRNA from 1 species
UGGCUGAGCGAUAAAGCGCUUGGCUUACGAUCCAGCGUCCCGGGUUCGAAUCCUGG